CCUGGUGGUCAUAACGUCUGUGUCCCACCCGGUCCCAUCCCGAACCCGGAAGUGAAACCAGAUAGUGCCGAUGGUACUUCGUCUUAAGGCGCGGAAGAGUAGGUCGUCGCCAGGU
rnacentral:rRNA from 1 species